GAGCUCACUUUGGCAGCACAUAUACUAAAAUUGGAACAAUACAGAGAAGACUAAAAUGGCCCUGUGCAAGGAUGACACACAAAUUGUCAUUCCAUAUUUUU
rnacentral:snRNA from 1 species